ACAACGGGGGCAUGCCUCAGUACGGCGAGUGAGCGGCAAGAGCUCAAAUUUGAAAGCUGGCUCCUUCGGGGUCCGCAUUGUAAUUUGCAGAGGAUGCUUCGGGUGCGGCCCCUGUCUAAGUGCCCUGGAACGGGCCGUCAGAGAGGGUGAGAAUCCCGUCUGGGAUGGGGUGUCCGCGCCCGUGUGAAGCUCCUUCGACGAGUCGAGUUGUUUGGGAAUGCAGCUCUAAAUGGGUGGUAAAUUUCAUCUAAAGCUAAAUACUGGCCGGAGACCGAUAGCGCACAAGUAGAGUGAUCGAAAGAUGAAAAGCACUUUGAAAAGAGAGUUAAAAAGCACGUGAAAUUGUUGAAAGGGAAGCGCUUGCGACCAGACUCGCCUCCAGGGUUCAGCCGGCAUUCGUGCCGGUGUACUUCCCUGGGGGCGGGCCAGCGUCGGUUUGGGCGGCCGGUCAAAGGCUCCCGGAAUGUAGUGCCCUCCGGGGCACCUUAUAGCCGGGAGUGCAAUGCGGCCAGCCUGGACCGAGGAACGCGCUUCGGCACGGACGCUGGCAUAAUGGUCGUAAACGACCCGUCUUGAACCACGGACCAA
rnacentral:rRNA from 1 species